rnacentral:rRNA from 1 species
UGCCUACGGGAGGCAGCAGUGGGGAAUAUUGCACAAUGGGGGAAACCCUGAUGCAGCAACGCCGCGUGAGUGAGGAAGUAUUUCGGUAUGUAAAGCUCUAUCAGCAGGGGAUAGAAAAGAAGGUACCUGAAAAAGAAGCCCCGGCUAACUACGUGCCAGCAGCCGCGGUAAUACGUAGGGGGCAAGCGUUAAUCGGAAUUACUGGGCGUAAAGCGCACGUAGGCUGUAUGACAAGUCAAGGGUGAAAUGCCACGGCUCAACCGUGGAACUGCCUUUGAAACUGUCAAACUGGAGUAUGUGAGAGG